UCCCUGUUACACAGGAUGCAGUGUCUUGGC
rnacentral:piRNA from 1 species